AUUGAACGCUGGCGGCAGGCUUAACACAUGCAAGUCGAGCGAGCGGCGGACGGGUGAGUAAUGUCUGGGAAACUGCCUGAUGGAGGGGGAUAACUACUGGAAACGGUAGCUAAUACCGCAUACCAUCAGAUGUGCCCAGAUGGGAUUAGCGAGUGGGUGGGGUAAGGGCUCACUUAGGACACGAUCCCUAGCUGGUCUGAGAGGAUGACCAGACACACUGGAACUGAUACACGGUCCAGACUCGUACGGGAGGCAGCAGGGGGGAAUAUUGCACAAUGGGCGCAAGCCUGAUGCAGCCAUGCCGCGUGUAUGAAGAAGGCCUUCGGGUUGUAAAGUACUUUCAGCGGGGAGGCGUUACUCGCAGAAGAAGCACCGGCUAACUCCGUGCCAGCAGCCGCGGUAAUUC
rnacentral:rRNA from 1 species